rnacentral:rRNA from 1 species
GGAGAGCGUUCUAAGGGCGUUGAAGCAUGAUCGUAAGGACAUGUGGAGCGCUUAGAAGUGAGAAUGCCGGUGUGAGUAGCGAAAGACGGGUGAGAAUCCCGUCCACCGAUUGACUAAGGUUUCCAGAGGAAGGCUCGUCCGCUCUGGGUUAGUCGGGUCCUAAGCUGAGGCCGACAGGCGUAGGCGAUGGAUAACAGGUUGAUAUUCCUGUACCACCUAUAAUCGUUUUAAUCGAUGGGGGGACGCAGUAGGAUAGGCGAAGCGUGCGAUUGGAUUGCACGUCUAAGCAGUAAGGCUGAGUAUUAGGCAAAUCCGGUACUCGUUAAGGCUGAGCUGUGAUGGGGAGAAGACAUUGUGUCUUCGAGUCGUUGAUUUCACACUGCCGAGAAAAGCCUCUAGAUAGAAAAUAGGUGCCCGUACCGCAAACCGACACAGGUAGUCAAGAUGAGAAUUCUAAGGUGAGCGAGCGAACUCUCGUUAAGGAACUCGGCAAAAUGACCCCGUAACUUCGGGAGAAGGGGUGCUCUUUAGGGUUAACGCCCAGAAGAGCCGCAGUGAAUAGGCCCAAGCGACUGUUUAUCAAAAACACAGGUCUCUGCUAAACCGUAAGGUGAUGUAUAGGGGCUGACGCCUGCCCGGUGCUGGAAGGUUAAGAGGAGUGGUUAGCUUCUGCGAAGCUACGAAUCGAAGCCCCAGUAAACGGCGGCCGUAACUAUAACGGUCCUAAGGUAGCGAAAUUCCUUGUCGGGUAAGUUCCGACCCGCACGAAAGGCGUAACGAUUUGGGCACUGUCUCAACGAGAGACUCGGUGAAAUCAUAGUACCUGUGAAGAUGCAGGUUACCCGCGACAGGACGGAAAGACCCCGUGGAGCUUUACUGUAGCCUGAUAUUGAAAUUCGGCACAGCUUGUACAGGAUAGGUAGGAGCCUUUGAAACGUGAGCGCUAGCUUACGUGGAGGCGCUGGUGGG